rnacentral:tRNA from 1 species
CCCGGAGUGGUGGAAUUGGCAGACACAGGGGACUUAAAAUCCCCUGAGAGCAAUCUCGUACGGGUUCGAGUCCCGUCUCCGGGA